rnacentral:lncRNA from 1 species
GUGUAAUAAAUGAAAGACAGAGAAGUAUGAGACAGAUGCAGAAAACUGUAGGAAUUGAAGACUUUCAAUAUAAAUCCUGUGGGACUAACUUUCCUGACCUUCCAAGCCAACAUUAAACACUCAAUUAAAACACUCACACAUGCAGGAGCCUCAAUGCAUGCACCAUUUAGACCACAAAGUUGAAGACUGGGGAGCAUCAGUGAUGGUGACACUGGGCAAACAUGGCCAGAAAUCCACAGGGAUGCAUCAUUCCUUGGAGAAGCAAGGCCAUGGACCCAGAGAGAUAAGGUGUUGUGGGCCAGGACCAGUAGCACAUUGUCUUUAUUGGCUGGAGGAUCCUAUUACCCAACAGGACCCGUACAACAGGACCACACCACAGGAAUGUUUCCCACCUAGGAGCUGCUCAGAUGUGUGUGUCCUGUAUUUCUCUGUGUGAGACAAUGCAUCAACACCUUUCAUUCUGAGCAAAUUCAGCCAAGAACUGUAUUGCAGAGAUAUUUGCUACCCGAUGAAAUGUAGAGAUGAGUGGAAGUAGCUGUUUCACAGAACAGUGUUUGCAAAAGCUCAGGAAAGGAAAAACAAAAGAAGUGUGCCUGCAGCUGAAGGUGAAAGCAGAAAAUCCAAGCAGAAGCGAAAUAACUGAUCUAACAAGAAUGCUCCCCCGGCACUGGACAUCUCUUCUUGCAGAAAAUGCCAAGUGAUCCUAAAUGAUCAGGAGUAACUGGAGCUGUGGUUAUGUCUGGUCAGAAAAGCUCCCUCAGCUCUCUCUGUGGAGCCUCCCCACCUGCCAUGGGGAUAUUUUCUGUUCUCACAAACACAUGGAGAUCCACAGGCAGGACAGCUCAACACCCUGCUCUGUUUGAUGUUGUCUGAAAGAAAAUAGUCCCCACUAAUGACUAAGCCUCCUGUGUUGCUUCAUCCUUGCCAUCCAAACACUCAUUGUGCUCAGACUCCUAGAUCUGCAGAGACAAGAGGUAGGCAUGAAUUUUUGGAUGUAUCCAAACACAGGUUAGAAGAACACACCGAGUUCUCUAAGUCCUUGGAUUUUCCUUGAGUCACCUAAUUACUUCAAGGGUUUGUCAGAAAUACCUGGAGUUUCCCAGACAGACUGGCCUUUGAGGAGCUGCACUAUGACUCCAUCACAAGCCUAUUAAUUCCACCCUGUAUGAAGUCAUGUUGUCCAGAGAGUGAUAACAUGCUGGAGAGAUAAACCUGUUCAGCAGAGCCUUGCCUUCAACUUACACACAACAGUGCAGUAAUGCUGAAAGCCCUCAGAAAAACACGUGUACGUAGAAGACAGGAUUUUCUUUUUCCUGUUUCUUUUUCCUCCAGGGAAAACAAAAUGAACUUUAAUAAACUUGGGUGUCAGAGCA